rnacentral:rRNA from 1 species
GGCUUAGAGUUUGAUCAUGGCUCAGGAUAAACGCUGGCGGCGCACAUAAGACAUGCAAGUCGAACGAACUUAACCAUUAGUUUACUAUUGGAGCGGUUAGUGGCGGACUGGUGAGUAACACGUAAGCAACCUGCCUGUUAGAGGGGAACAACAGUUAGAAAUGACUGCUAAUACCGCAUAUGCCAUAGUGAGGACAUCCUCACAGUGGGAAAGGAGAAAUCCGCUGACAGAUGGGCUUGCGUCUGAUUAGCUAGUUGGUGUGGUAACGGCAUACCAAGGCAACGAUCAGUAGCCGGGCUGAGAGGUUGAACGGCCACAUUGGGACUGAGAUACGGCCCAGACUCCUACGGGAGGCAGCAGUCGGGAAUAUUGCGCAAUGGAGGAAACUCUGACGCAGUGACGCCGCGUGCAGGAAGAAGGUUUUCGGAUUGUAAACUGCUUUAGACAGGGAAGAAAAAGGACAGUACCUGUAGAAUAAGCUCCGGCUAACUACGUGCCAGCAGCCGCGGUAAUACGUAGGGAGCAAGCGUUAUCCGGAUUUAUUGGGUGUAAAGGGUGCGUAGACGGGAAAUUAAGUUAGCUGUGAAAUUCCUCGGCUUAACUGAGGAACUGCAACUAAAACUGAUUUUCUUGAGUGCUGGAGAGGAAAGUGGAAUUCCUAGUGUAGCGGUGAAAUGCGUAGAUAUUAGAGGAACACCAGUGGCGAAAGCGACUUUCUGGACAGUAACUGACGUUGAGGCACGAAAGUGUGGGGAGCAAACAGGAUUAGAUACCCUGGUAGUCCACACCGUAAACGAUGGAUACUAGUGUAGGGGAUGAGUAAUCUUCUGUGCCGUCGCAAACGCAGUAAGUAUCCCACCUGGGGAGU